rnacentral:rRNA from 1 species
UACGUAUGGUGCAAGCGUUAUCCGGAUUUACUGGGCGUAAAGGGAGCGCAGGCGGCGCGCCAAGUCUGAUGUGAAACCCCGGGGCUCAACCCCGGGCAUGCAUUGGAAACUGGCGGGCUGGAGUGCCGGAGAGGUAAGCGGAAUUCCUAGUGUAGCGGUGAAAUGCGUAGAUAUCAGGAGGAACACCGGUGGCGAAGGCGGCCUGCUGGACUGCAACUGACGUUGAGGCCCGAAAGCGUGGGUAGCAAACAGG